GAAUAGAGGCGCGCUGAACGAUGAGUAGCGGCGGGAGACACCGGGUCUGCGAACGCAAGCGGAAGGCGUCAGCGCCGAAGGGCGGCAUUCCCGGAGAAGGCCGUUCCUGGCUAUGCGGUCAAUAGCCGUAUGGCUGUCAUCACAAAGCGGAUGAAGCGCUAUU
rnacentral:ncRNA from 1 species